UACGAGGGGGGCGAGCGUUGUUCGGAAUUAUUGGGCGUAAAGGGGGCGUAGGCGGUUUGGUAAGUCUGAUGUGAAAUCUAUGGGCUCAACUCAUAGUCUGCAUCGGAAACUGCCGGGCUUGAGUGUGGGAGAGGUGAGUGGAAUUCCUGGUGUAGCGGUGAAAUGCGUAGAUAUCAGGAGGAACACCUGUGGCGAGAGCGGCUCACUGGACCAUAACUGACGCUGAUGCACGAAAGCUAGGGGAGCAAACAGG
rnacentral:rRNA from 1 species